GGCUCAGUGGCGUGCGGUACCGCGCAUCUGCAUCCCACGUUGCAUCUUUUUCCCUGAGUAAAGCAGACACCCGCCCGUUCGACUCGGGCCUGAGCCA